rnacentral:tRNA from 1 species
UGGGUUGUGGCUCAGUGGUAGAGUGCUCACCUUGCAUGUGCAAGGCCCUGGGUUCAAUCCUCAGCACCACAU